AAGAUUUGUCCACUAUGUAGCUCAACUUGGCUGACAUCAGCUGAGGCUUCAGUCAAACUAUUCCAGUGUUUACAAGCAUUAUCAUCAGCUCCCAGGAAGAGUCAUCCACUUCCAAGAUGAACAUGCCAUUUGCCAAAGCCAAGACCAUCAGUGACAAAGAAAAACAGCACAACAACCUGCAGCAGCCAGAAGAGAGGAGUGACAAUAUGAGAGACAUAACAACUCUUCAGACACUAAGGUCAGUGAAGAAGGAGGGGGAGGUGAUGCUCCAGGUGCCAGAGCAGAGAUUCCCCUGCAGCCCAUGGGGAAGAUCACGGUGAGGCAGGCUGUCCCGCUGCAGCCCAUGAAGGCCCACAGUGGAGCAGAUAUCCACCUGCAGCCUGUGGAGGAACCCACGUCAGAGCAGAUGGCUGCUCGAAGGAGGCCGUGACCCCAUGGACACUCCACGCUGAACCAGGUUCCUGGCAGGACCUGUGACCCCAUGAAGAGAGGAGCUCAUGCUGAAGCAGGUGCCCGUGGGGGACCCAUGUGGAGCAUUCUGUUCCUGAAGGACUACACCCCAUGGAUGGGAUCCAUGCUGGAGCAGUUUCUAAGGAGCUGCAGCUCAAGGGAAGGACUCAUGUUGAAGAAGUUUUGUAGAGAACUGUCUCCUGAAGGAUGGACCCCACACUGGAUCAGGAGAAGAGUGUGAGGAGUCCUCCACCUGAGGAGGAAGGAGCAACAGAAAUAACAUGUGAUAAACUGACUGCAACCCCCGUUUCCCAGGGGAAAUCCUCCCACAGGGGAAGACAUAUUAAGAGUGAAGUUAAGUGGGGAGAAGGGAGGGGUGGUGGGGAAGGUGUUUUAAGAUUUAGUUUUUAUUUUCUCGUUA